CGACACUUGAAUGCACUUGCGGCCUGGGUUCCUCCCAGGGCUAUGCCUGUCUGAGCGUCGCU
rnacentral:precursor_RNA from 1 species